rnacentral:rRNA from 1 species
GAUGAACGCUGGCGGCGUGCCUAAUACAUGCAAGUAGAACGCUGAAGCUUGGUGCUUGCACCGAGUGGAUGAGUUGCGAACGGGUGAGUAACGCGUAGGUAACCUGCCUCUUAGCGGGGGAUAACUAUUGGAAACGAUAGCUAAUACCGCAUAAAAGUCGAUAUCGCAUGAUAUUGAUUUGAAAGGUGCAAAUGCAUCACUAAGAGAUGGACCUGCGUUGUAUUAGCUAGUUGGUGAGGUAACGGCUCACCAAGGCGACGAUACAUAGCCGACCUGAGAGGGUGAUCGGCCACACUGGGACUGAGACACGGCCCAGACUCCUACGGGAGGCAGCAGUAGGGAAUCUUCGGCAAUGGGGGCAACCCUGACCGAGCAACGCCGCGUGAGUGAAGAAGGUUUUCGGAUCGGAAAGCUCUGUUGUAAGAGAAGAACGAGUGUGAGAGUGGAAAGUUCACACUGUGACGGUAACUUACCAGAAAGGGACGGCUAACUACGUG